rnacentral:rRNA from 1 species
UACAGAGGGUGCAAGCGUUGUUCGGAAUUAUUGGGCGUAAAGGGCUCGUAGGCGGCCAACUAAGUCAGACGUGAAAUCCCUCGGCUUAACCGGGGAACUGCGUCUGAUACUGGAUGGCUUGAGUUUGGGAGAGGGAUGCGGAAUUCCAGGUGUAGCGGUGAAAUGCGUAGAUAUCUGGAGGAACACCGGUGGCGAAGGCGGCAUCCUGGACCAACACUGACGCUGAGGAGCGAAAGCCAGGGGAGCAAACGGG